CCUGGAGAUCAGCCAGAGGAAAGCUCGGGGGCUUUGGUUCGCACCAUGAAACCCCUCCAGCAAGCAGGGAAGGAUUAUCUGUCCCUAGGGACCUGUUUUCAAGCCCUUCACACUGUCAACUCUGAGACACAUACUGUAUCAGGAUGGACAUUUUCAUCACCCCAUCUCAACCUGCCAACAACCAUCACCCAACCGACAAUGCAGCAGCAAAACACCUGCACUCUGGAGGCCUACAGGAGGAUUACCCUGACACAUCACUAUGGGAUUCAAGCUCCACCAGCACAUCCCUCCACCAACACAAAUGUUCCACACAUACACACUGUACUGUACUGGCCCUCAGAGAGACACCAGAGGCAAGGUGCCACGGACACAGUGCCUUCAGCUGAGACCUCACCUCCCCUCCAAUGGACUGCCUGGGGGAAAGGAGCAUGUGCUGCACUCUGUCUCUUCCCUAGUGUCUUAGUUCUGGAAUAAGAUCCCAGAGAGACCAGUACAAGAGGACACACUGUGUAUGUUGCCGUUAUGUAUCUCCCUUGUCUUCACCAGGCCUGUGUUUGGUCUAUAGCUACCCCCAGUGGAGUACAGGUGUUUUGUAGCAUCACAAUGUGUUCAUGGUUUUUUGUCGUUGUCCCAGGACAAAUGUAAGCACAUAAAUGUGUCUGCAAAUCAGACAGCGUUUGCAUGUUGUUACUUAAGUGAAAAUCAUUUCAGUGUCACAAAUUGAGAUUACUCAUCUCAAGAGGUGAAUGUCUUUGAGAAAAUGUAUUUAACACACUCACACACGCGCAAGCACACACAUAUUAUUGCAUUCCUCCAUAGGAGGUUGGUGGCACCUUAAUUGGGGAGGACGGGCUCGUGGUAACGGCUGGAGCGGAAUUGGUGGAAUGGUAUCAAAUACAACAAACACAUGGUUUCCAGGUGAUUGAUGCCAUUCCAUUCGCUCCGUUCCAGCCAUUAUUAUGAGCCGUCCUCCCCUCAGCAGCCUCCACUGCAUUCCUCCUCUUUUUUUCCUUCCGCCUCCUCUCUCUUCCCAUUCUACACUCUCAUCUCCUCUUUCCAACAUUUUAUCUUCUUCACCAAUAGCGACAAUAAUUGCAUGGGAAAGUCAUCAGAUUAUCUACUCUUCAGAAGCAGUGGCCAAAUGACGUCACAGCUGCAGGUUGUUCCAGGUGGCUUAUCAGAAGUGCUGAGUGACUUUGUUCUCUCUGACUUCUUUCUCGAAACAUGGUCCACUCUUCGCUUCUUCCCACUUCUUUUUUUGUAUCGUUGGGGAAAUUAAAACUUGCCUGUGAGUUACCCUAGCAAUAAAUCACUUGUCAGCAAAACUCACCAUUACUGCUAAUAUGGAAAACCUCAAGCUGCAGUUCAGUGCAUCUCCCAAGAUUCCUAAAUGAGUCAUGUGAUUCCAUUUCUAUUUAGUCAACCCCACACAUGCAUUACAUACAUUAUAUCUAUGUAAUGUGACAUGUUUGUGAGUUUGAGUCUGUGUGUGUGUGUGACUGUGAAAGUGUGUGACAGUGUUUGUGUCGGUGGGAAUGUGUGCAGCAUGUACAGUACUGAAUACAUGUACGCUUGAGCCGAUACCCAGCUGUAAAAUGUAGAUAGUCUCAGCUGGUACUGUACGCCUGGCUGACUGCACUCUAGAACCCUUGGCAUCGGAGUGCUGAGAGACACUUCUCAGGAGAGGCACUCUCUCUAUUGCCAGGAAUGAGGAACAACCCCCUUCAUACAUACAUCCACACACACACAAACCACACACACACACACACACACACACACACACACACACACACACACACACACACACACACACACACACACACACACACACACACACACACACACACACACACACACACACACACACACACACACACACACACACACACACACACACACACACACACACACACACACACGUCAUUCAUAUCAUAGAUUAGUUGCACAAAACGAAGCCAAGCCCCCCUGUUCUCUGUGGCUCGGUAGGGGCUCUGGCUGCAGGCAGACGUAUGUACGUGUGCAUGUUUGUGUCAUGCUCAUGCAGAGGAGGAGAGGAGACCCCGAGCAUACUCCUUCCACUCUCAGGCAGACAUCUGCCACAUGAAAAGAGUGAUGCUGUGAUGCAGAAAGGAGUGAUGCAGAUGGGGCGGCAGGUAGCCUAGCGGAGUGUUGGGCCAAUAAGGUCGCUGGUUCAAAUCCCCAAGGCAGCAAGAUGAAAAGUCUGUCGAUGUGCCCUUGAGCAAGGCACUUAACCCUAGCCCUAAAACUGAUUUAAAAAGGUACAUUAUAUGGCAUCAGCCAGUAACAGCAUGCUUCAGACAUAGUGCUGUUAUUACUCUGGGUGCAAACUGCAAAGCAUCCAUCUACUCUUCAGAGGAUGUCUAAUGACAGACUGGGGGUGUAUUUAUAAAGUUCACUCUUCUGAAUCAUGACUCUGCGUUCAACGCUUUGAGUCAAGACAAAGGGAAGCCCACCAAUCAUAUCAUGAGGAGUGUACACAUACACGCUUUUCUCUCAAUGGAUCUAAAUACCAAGCCAGUCAGUAAAGAAUGGGUUUUAGUGUAAAAUGUUUAUUGUGCUUAGCUCUUUGGCUGUAUGUAUAACGAUGAUCCACUAUCCGAUCAGUUGAAGGAGCUCGAACGGGACCAAGGAUACCAGAGAUUACGGAAAAUGUAUAAAUAAAUUAAUCAAGAAUUUAAAGGGGAAAGAAGACUCAUAUUACUUUCAUUGCUAAGUAUGAAUACAAUUUGUAACAUUGUCAUUGCCCCCAAAAUGUCCCAGUCAACAAAGUCAGACAAAUCCUUAUGGUAUUACAAGGCCUGUUUCAAUAAACUGCUUUAGUGUUGUACUGGACACUGUAAAAUGCAUUUGUCUCUAGAAAGAAAUGCAAAGUGCUGUGUCACUGUGCUUUGACUUUACCUCUAAUAUCCUGGAUGUGAGGAGAGAGGGAGACUCUCCAGGAGUGAUGUAACAACAGGGCUCCCUCUCCUCUGCCUUGUGAAUCCCUAGGAGCAGUCACCAUAGCAACAAUAUUAGACUACGCACAAGACUGUUCAAUGGUAGAGGAAUUUCAGGUUGGAAUGUAACAAUA
rnacentral:lncRNA from 1 species